GUCUGCACUGCCCCUGUGCGCUUCUGUAUGUAGGCAGGUAUGUGUGUGUGUGUAUUGCCUUUCUUCUGUGGCCAAGUUACAGGCACCUUCAGCCCUGGGGGCGUGGCCUGACUUGAGGGCUGGCCACACCCAAAGUCCUUGCCGCACACCUGCUCCUCAUCUGGGCUCCUCGGGGGAGCUAUUUAGAUGAGCGAUGGAGCUUCCACCGAUGCUGGAUUAUUGCGGUUGACUUCACGAGGAAUGUGGAACGAGAGAGGCCAGUGAGCACGGGGAGUGCAGAGACACUGGAGCAGAGAGCACUACACGGGGACGUUUGGGAAGAAGACACAACACGGGAGUCAGGGACACUAGGGGAUUUAUUGUUGUUUACUUCACCACCUUGUAAAUAAACACUGUUUGCACUGAAGAGUCCGGCGCUUGGGUCCUGUUUCCCCACCUCCCCACGGUCUGCCAGCCAGACCGUGACACUUCUUGGGAUCAUUGCCCUGCUGCACCAACCAAUUUUGGCCAGCCUAUAGCAUUAUUUGUCUCUAGAAUAUUUUGGCAUACAGAGGAGAGCCUAGAUCCUCAGGUCCUGUAGAUGUAAAACAAGCCCAAAUCAUUACACCGCCACUGUCGUGCUUCACAGUUGGUAUAAAAUGUUUGUGUUGAUGUUCUGUAUUUUGUUUUAGCCAAAUAUGACGCUGUGCAUUAUGGUAAACCAUCUCCACUUUGGCGGCUUCUCUCCACUUUAAAUUUUUCAGAAACGACCUCAUGACCAUUCCCAAAUAAUUGCUGAUGUUUUUCGUCCUUGGCAUUGUGUUAACACACAACUGCUCCAGACCAUCAAACUGUAAAAAUAAAACCCUCUGCUUUUAUAGAGGUGCUCAUACUUGCUGACGAUCAGUUAAACAGCUGGAUUUGAUUAGCACCGGCCACAGCUUACCCUCUUAAUUCUUAUGGAAGCAGUUUUUCACAUACCGUUUCUGAUUUUGUUUUAGUUAUAUAUUGACAUGACAUGUGACGUGAUUUUGUUCAAUCAAGGUUGUAUGUACCUAAUUUUAGGACCUGCUGAGGACCAGAUGAUUAUUUUUUAUUAUGUCCUAAUAUGUAAACUUCAGAAACCUUGAAAGAGAGCAUAUAUUCUCUUCUGCAUAUAUUCUCUAGGACUAUGGGUUCAGUCCAUCUCUCUAAAAGUAUAUGUAAAUGU